AGAAAAGGAAGGAGGGACUGUAGCAUGUAAAGUCUAAUUUAAUCUUCAAAUUCAUGUCAUCAGCCAUACUGCAUUUCAAAAGCCAGAACAUUAUGAUCCAAAUAAUAUCGAAUAAAUGACCAAAUUGAUACCCAAUUCAGAGUCUUAAAGCUGAACUCCAAGCAAACGGGUAAAUACA